rnacentral:rRNA from 1 species
CCCUAUGGGGCGCACCAGUAUACGGGUUUCUUGCCCUUGUAAAUGCUGCCGUUCAGCCAGAGCUUUCCGAACUCCUCGACGGUUACCGCCUCGUAGUCGUACGACAUGGUAAGAUAGGGAUUUUCCCAUUCGCCGAACACGCCCAGGCGCUUGAACUGCUCCCUCUGGAUUUUGUAAUAUCUCUCUGCAUAUGUACGGCAUGACCGCCUCUUGUCCGCCUGCGGCAUUUCGUGGCGCUUGUCGCCGAGUUCCUUGUCCACCUGGUGUUCAAUCGGCAGGCCGUGGCAGUCCCAUCCGGGGACAUAAAUGCUGUCCAGCCCGAACAUGUUCUUGGAUUUGAUCACUAUGUCCUUGAUGACCUUAUUCAGCGCCGUUCCCAGAUGGAUAUGGCCGUUGGCGUAGGGAGGGC